GAUGAAGAACGUAGCGAAAUGCGAUAAGUAAUGUGAAUUGCAGAAUUCAGUGAAUCAUCGAAUCUUUGAACGCACAUUGCGCCCCCUGGUAUUCCGGGGGGCAUGCCUGUUCGAGCGUCAUUCAACCCUCAAGCUCUGCUUGGUAUUGAGUCCAUGUCAGCAAUGGCAGGCUCCAAAAUCAGUGGCGGCGCCGCUGGGUCCAGAACGUAGUAAUAUCUCUCGUUACAGGUGCUCGGCGUGCUUCUGCCAAAACCCCAAUUUUUCUAUGGUUGACCUCGGAUCAGGUAGGGAUACGCGCUGAACUUAAGCAUAUCAAUAAGCGGAGGA
rnacentral:misc_RNA from 1 species